AAAGCAGCAGCAGCAGCUCAGCGUAAAGUGCAUUAAAAGCGAGGUAAUUAGUGUGCAGAGUAGACCGCAAACGGCUAAUUGCGCUGCUCGUGCUCGCCUCCACCUAUCGCAACCUCCAGACUGCUCCUAAUAACACCCACCUCCACACGCGGCGUGGGGCUCGUGUCCGAACACGGAGCUCCAAAACAGUAAUUGUCAGCCGGGAAGAGGGGGGGGGAAGAGACACAAAAACAAGUCUGGUAGCUAGCAUAGCAGCCCAAACGGUUCGGACUGCUCACGAGGCGCUGCGCCAGCCGAAGCUCAUUUACAUACGCACUGAUUCACUGCAGGGCAGCCAUGUCCAGGCCUGAUGAGGACGUGCCGGAUCCCGUGCGUUAGGAAUGGAGGCUCGGUUACGGGAUCACGCAAAGGCUCCCUGAGGCUUAGCAGGAGUUGCCGACGCAGACAAAGUCAGAGAAUCUGCGGCCUCUGAGGUCGACAGUAAAAGCUGCGUGUGAGAGUUUGUCCCCAGAAACUGCUGGUGCUGCAGCAUUUCUCUGAACCGUCACCCAUCUACAAUGGAGUGACACCAGGAAGCGGAGCAGACACCCAGGAUGAGACUCAACACAGACUAGAAACAAACGCUGACAGGCGAAUGUGGAAAGCAAACAUGAUUAUUCCCACACAGACUAUUUUUUAUGAUAAAAAUGACAGCAGCUGUUUUCCAGUAUGCUGGCACUUAAAUGAAACUUAAGUAAAAGAGGAUUCCUGCUUGGGUUGAUGAUUUAUAUACAACAAAAUCGAAACAGAUUACGAGCUCUUCGGAGGCCGCCCUGGCUGUACUCCGGGGACGCUAUUUUUUUUUUUUUAACUUUUUGUUUUGUUUUGAGAAAAAGCCAAAAAUGUUUGGACCAUGUGGCAGAUGAAGAGGCAAAAGCAAACACGCACUUCUGAGCCGGGCGGCUGCGGCUGUCUGACUGAGCCAAACCGCAGCUGAGGAGACCCACUCGAAGAAACGAUCUGAUGCAGUUUGGCAAGAAGGCGAGCGCAUCGAGUUCAAAAUGCGCCAGAGACUUUGUUGGGAGAGGAGGAUUUCGAGCAGCGCCACUUCAAGACUCUAAAAAGAAAAUGUCAGCGGUCCUAAAUCUCCAGAGACACAUAGAUGCACCCUCAACCCCGCAUUUCUCUUACAGUAAAAGUCUUCCUGCGCUACAGGCGCUCUGACUUCCAACAUCAUUAAGAACUCAUUCUACUGUCAUUACCAUGGUUGUAAACUAUCUGCUAUAAACUAAAGAAGAGGCAAAAUAGGGGGGCAGAACAAUGCAAAAGUAUCAAAAAUGGCAUUGACCUCUGAGCCUAGAAUCAAUGGAUCCUACUUUUGAUUGACUAGAAGCCAUCCAGAUUGCCCCAAAGUCAGGAACAUGACUCAGAAGUCCUGCAGGCUGCUUCAGAUUCACCGAACCAAUAGUAAGGGGGAGGAGCUGGUUGAGGAAAUCUCAGAUUCCACUCGCAUGUUUUGGUGAAACAUGCGAGUGGAUGAGGCCCGUAAGAUCUUAACAUCCCUCAGGUUGGGAGGCUGCGUAUCAUUUUCAGUCAAUGUUUAGUUAUGAGUUUGAGAAGAAACCUCGCUGCUUGCCUGAGAUGUUGCCUUGCUAAUAGCGCAGGUUUGACUGCCAGGAUUCAUCCGAAUCUCUGUUGAGACAUCUGGCAAAGACGGAAGAGUUCAGACGUUUCAGCGAGAUAUGGCAAACAGAACAGGUUUGGAGCUCUUUCGGAGUUGCUGUGCCUCAGGCCCGGGCGUGGGUGCAAUCCUUUUCCUUCCAACUAUUUCCACGUGUGCCAUCGGCUUCAUCUCUUUUCAUCCUCCUUUGCCUGUGGAGUAAAUCUUACAGGCAUCCAGUCACAUUUACAGUGCCUCUGCCUCGGCACAGUUUUUGCUUUGUUAUCGCACUCAAAUGUUCCAGGUCUUAAAGGAACAAAGGGCCAGAAGUCAUCAUAGUUUUCAAAUAAUGACUUCAUUUGUGAAGGAAUAAUAGCUGUCCAUGCCCACACCUAGUCCUGUCUGAAAAUAUAAUUGCUGUCCUUGUUGAAUCUCAUUUUUUGGCUCAAUUACACUGUCCACACCCAGGCCUGAUUACUUACCAAAACUGUAGAAUGAAGAAACCACUUCAACAAAACCUGAAUGUUUUGUUGAACCGCUUGAAUGUUUUGAACCUGAACCGCUGAAUGUUUUACCUAUUAAAGUAUGUUCUACCAUUAGAAAGAGCUCCACCUAUCUCGCCUUAACCUCCUGCGGUGCUAGCAUGACUGCAGAUGUUAUGGCCGGACAGUGGAGGGGUGUCCCGUCAGACCGUCAGUUCCCGAAACCACACACACACACAAAAAAAACUCAGAAAAGCGCACACGGGGUCAGUGCAAUCCCCUCCCCUUGGACCGCACAUGGAAUAAAAAGCUUGUGGGCCCAACUCUUCAGACUGCGGGAGGGGUUCAAAGGGCAACUCAAAGCGUGGUUGGUUGGUAAGUAAUCAUCAUUGAACCAUAGCUACCUUUUCUGGAAACUUUGUGUUUCAGUUACUAUAUUCAUGACAGAUGUAGGUUUUAUUUAUUUCUACUGUAUUUCUAUUUUUAUUCUCGAAAUGGUAUUAAUGUCAUUUUCUAGCUUGUGUUUGUUUAAUGGCACUACAGAUGGAAAUUAACAUUUCACUAAAUCCAGUCUUUUUACGACAACAUUGUACGUUCAUUUAUAUGCACUGUCCUGUUCAAAUAAACCCACUUAAAUAGAAUCAGACCGACACCGUGACUAAGGCUAAAAUACCUCAAAAUAAGGAAAAGCGACAGUCACCCACAUUUAUCGGACUGGAAAAGGUAACGUCAUUUCAAAGACUUUGUGACUCCAACAAACGACAGUGACAGCCAUUAUCCAGAACUGGAGGAAACGCGAAACAGCUGAGAACCUUCUCAGGAGGCUACAAAAUAGCUCCAGGAGCACAUCGGUGACUCAACCAGGAGGCCGUAAAGGAAGCCGGAACAACAUCUAAAGCACUGCUGGCCUCACUUGCUCUAGUUUAGAUCAGUGUUCAUGAUUCAACAAUUGGAAAGAGAGACUGGGCAAACAUGGCAUCAAUGGGGAAAGUGGCAGGGCAAAACAACACUGAUGACCCAAAAGAACCCAAAGGCCGUCCGUCCACCAAAAAUACAAAGACAUGGUGAGACAUGGUGGUAGUAGAGUGAUGGCUUGGGGUACAUGGUGCGCUAUGAUACAAAUGCAUGCCGUAUUACACAAGAAAAUGUGAAAAAUAUUAAUGUUUCUCCUUUUUACUUCACAAUCAUGCACUGCUAUGCGUCUAUUUGACAAAAUUCCCAAAAAGAACAACAUUGAGGUUUGUGGUUGUAAC